CAAACGAAACGACGACAUCACCCUCUCCUCUCUCUCUUCUUCUCUCUGCGAGAAGCGAGACUCCGACCCGAUUCACAUCUCCUCCAUUCUCUCCUCUCCUCUCCUCUCCUCUCCGCCGCCACCUCCCUCUCACGGACCUCGCCGCCGGCCAUGGCCUCCCCCGCCCUCUCCUGAUCAGACGACAGGAGAUCCGCCGUGUCCGCGACGGAGCAGGUCGCCCUCCCGCGAGCCCCACCACCUACGCCGGUCGAUUCCAGCCGAAUCUGGCGGCGCCCAGCACCCUCCCGUGAACGCCUCCCUCCGCUCCGUCCUCCUCUCCGACCCAGGCGGACUCCAGCAGCCACCCACCAACAGCCCUCCCCGUGGCGUGCCUAGGGUUUCGGCCUGCGUGUCGCCGGCGACUCUUCUUGGCCGUGAUCCGCCACAACCGCGGCGACCUCGACGGAUCUGCGGCGCAGCAGCGAGGGUCACUUCCUCCGACCUGCAGCGACCAUAGUGACACGGAUUCCAUCUGGCGCCCUCCACGGAUGACGACAUCACCAUGGAGAUGGAGCAGCUGCAGCAUCACCAACUCACCCGAUGCAUGCAGAUGCAGCGCAGGCAGAAGAGGAUGACGCCCAGCUAUGGAUUUUGAGCGGCAGCUGCUCAAGAAAUGAGGCCUGCAGAGCUAAUAGCAGCUACGCGCGAGGCUGUCGCUGCCGGUGGCAAUUCGGGUAUCUCCUCAAACAAGGCGACGGGGAGCAGUUGGUCCGUCGGCUAGGUUAAUCUUUCUCGGGACAAGGCUGAGGUGAGCUUUGAGUGUCAGGUUGUUGUUUUUGUGUUUUAAGUAGUUGUAGCUUCUGUUGCUUCGACAACCGUUCUAUCUUUUGAGGCUUUGAUCAUUGUUUGUGUUAUCACUGUCCGAAGCACUAACGGUGGACUCCCUCCUCUGCUGGGUGUACCUUGACUAUGAACCCUUCUCCUGUGGAUGAUCAAGUGCUUGUGAUAAGUUUCUCCUGGAUGUACUUGAGUUCAUUUUCAAGAAUUCCAGUUCAAAGGCUUUCUGUUGUCCUGUAACAGUGUCCAACAUCACGUUUGACUUUGACGUCUACUUCGCACAACUCUAGCACUGUCCUUCAUAUAGGCAACAAUCAGAUUCCUCUUCUUUUUUAUAAUUUAUGAUUGCACAUCCUAACUAGUAUGUGAUCAUUAGCUUGAACCACCCUGUCAUAAGUUACAUGUCUAUGAUACUUGUUUUGUUUCUGCUGCGACUGUAUUGAACCAUUGGUUUCAUGAAGAAAUCUGGGAGUACCCUUUUUUAGUAGAAAACAACUUUUGUAGAUCGUUUCAAGUUACAUGGGUGAAGAAGGAUGGAUUUAUAUACGAAGGACAUAACUUUGCCCUUGUCUCUAUUUUUUACUGCAGUUGUCAAUGAUUCUGAUGUUUUUUUAAUACUCUCAGUUAUUUGUUAAGUUUGUGCUCUCUGCUGCAGUGCGAGAGUUUUACCCAUAAAAUGUGUGACGGGUGCGGGUUGGCUACUGAUGAAAAAAAAUUCUACUUGUAGUGGUAGACCUCAAGGUUUUACCAGCUGGAUCUAGAAUCACUCGGAAGACUUUCUGGUUCGUGAUUCCCGGAGUCUACGACGACUGGGAGGAGUGUCGGAGACAGGUUCACCAUUUCAGCGGUAACAGUUACAAAGGGUACACCACUAGGGCGGAGGCGGAAGCUAGAUAUGCGCGCUAUCUAGCGGGAGAGAGGACGGAUCGGAGAAGGAACCGGAUGAAGACCAGUUUCAUCGCGAUGAUGCCAAUCAUGAUGAUUGCAGCUCUCUUCUAUGUGAUGGUAGUUUAGAUGAUCGAUAUCGACUUGUAAUGUGAAG